rnacentral:rRNA from 1 species
UAGGAUUCCCUUAGUAGCGGCGAGCGAACAGGGAAAAGCCCAGCACUGAAUCCCGCGGCCGAAAACGGACGCUGGGAAAUGUAGUGUUAGGGAGAAUCCGUUAUCUCGGAAUUGUGCGACGCGUCCAAGUCCUUCUUGAACGGGGUCACAGCCCAUAGAGGGUGCCAGGCCCGUAGCGACCGUUGUCAAUUGCGAGAGGAUUUCUCCUCAGAGUCGGGUUGCUUGAGAGUGCAGCCCUAAGUGGGUGGUAAACUCCAUCUAAGGCUAAAUAUGACCACGAGACCGAUAGCGAACAAGUACCGUGAGGGAAAGUUGAAAAGAACUUUGAAGAGAGAGUUCAAUAGUACGUGAAACCGUUUAGGGGUAAACCUGAGAAACCCGAAAGAUCGAACGGGGAGAUUCAGCGUGUCUCUUUUCUUGACGUGUUGGUUGCGCGACAGAACAGGGCUCUUUAGCGUUGUCUCUGCGUCUUCUGUUCACUUAUGUCUUGACUGAACGCGUGCACUUCUCCCCCAGUAGAACGUUGCGAUCCGUUGGGUGCCGGUCUAAGGCCCGUGGUGGUGCCCAUCUUAAGCAGCUUGCUGUUUUGGAUGAACCCAUGGUGACCCGGCCGGCGCGCUCGACGGUAUACAGAAAGGCGCAAGGCCGCUACAUUAAGUUAGCAUUCGACCUGUGGCAAGCGCGCUUGUUGGAUUGGUGUACGGACCAUGUGUCAGUCCCAACCGCAAGUGGCUGUUAGUUGCAGUGUUCUCGAAUAGAUCUUGUUUAACGCCAAUCUGCAACGCUAUAGCUUUGGGUACUUUCAGGACCCGUCUUGAAACACGGACCAAGGAGUCUAGCAUGUGCGCGAGUCAUUGGGAUAUUAUUAAACCUAAAGGCGCAAUGAAAGUAAAUGGGUGUCUUGCACACACAAAGGGAAGAUGGGUGGUCGUUAAAGAUUGCCUCGCAUUCCCGGGGCGUCUCAUUCUCAUUGCGAGAAGAGGCGCACCAAGAGCGUACACGCUGGGACCCGAAAGAUGGUGAACUAUGCCUGGUCAGGACGAAGUCAGGGGAAACCCUGAUGGAGGUCCGUAGCGAUUCUGACGUGCAAAUCGAUCGUCGGAACUGGGUAUAGGGGCGAAAGACUAAUCGAACCAUCUAGUAGCUGGUUCCCUCCGAAGUUUCCCUCAGGAUAGCUGGCGCUCAUUGUAUACGAGUUUCAUCCGGUAAAGCGAAUGAUUAGAGGCAUUGGGAUCGAAACGAUUUCAACCUAUUCUCAAACUUUAAAUGGGUGAGAUCUUCGGCUUGCUUGAACUCCUGAAGCCGCAAGACUCGAAUCAGAG